AUACGGAGGAUCCGAGCGUUAUCCGGAUUUAUUGGGUUUAAAGGGUGCGCAGGCGGCCAUUUAAGUCAGCGGUUAAAUCGUGGGGCUCAACCCCAUUCUGCCGUUGAUACUGGGUGGCUUGAUUGCGGUCGAGGUUGGCGGAAUUCGUUGUGUAGCGGUGAAAUGCAUAGAUAUGACGAAGAACACCGAUUGCGUAGGCAGCUGACCAGAGCGCAAAUGACGCUCAGGCACGAAAGUGCGGGGAGCUAACAGGAUUAGAUACCCUGGUAGUCCGCACAGUAAACGAUGAAUACUUGUUUUCGGCGAUAUAAUGUCGGAGGCAAAGCGAAAGCGAUAAGUAUUCCCCCUGGGGAGUACGCCGGCAACGGUGAAACUCAAAUGAAUUGACGGGG
rnacentral:rRNA from 1 species